rnacentral:rRNA from 1 species
AGGGAAACAGCCCAGACCGCCCGCUAAGGUCCCCAAGUCAUCGCUGAGUGGCAAAGGAUGUGCGUCUGCCCAGACAACCAGGAUGUUGGCUUAGAAGCAGCCAUACAUUUAAAGAGUGCGUAACAGCUCACUGGUCAAGUGGACAUGCGCCGACAAUUCACGGGGCUAAGCACGGCGCCGAAGCGGCGGACCGUAUACAUACGAUGGUAGGGGAGCUUUCCGCGCAGGGCGGAAGCCGGAGGGGCGACCCCCGGUGGACCGCGCGGAAGUGAGGAUGCAGGCAUGAGUAGCGAGAGCAGGGCGAGAAACCCUGCCGCCGCAAGCCUAAGGUUUCCUGGGCGAGGCUAAUCCCCCCAGGGUCAGUCGGGAGCUAAGGCGAGGCCGAGAGGCGUAGCCGAUGCGCAGCGGGCAGACAUUCCCGCACCGCCGACGGCGCGGCAUUACCGAUGGGGCGACGGAGAAGGGUAGCCGGGCGGGGUUCUGGACGUCCCCGUGAAAGCGCGUAGGGCGCGAGGCAGGCAAAUCCGCCUCGCAUGCGGCCCGAGACGCGAGACGAAGCGAGCGAGCGAAGCCGGUGAGCCCAUGCUUCCGAGAAAAACCUCUAGGGAGUGCCGUCGGCGCCCGUACCAAAACCGACACAGGUGGGCGGGUAGAACAUACCGAGGCGAUCGGGAGAACCACGGUUAAGGAACUCGGCAUACUGGCCCCGUAACUUCGGGAGAAGGGGCGCCGCCGGCUGUGAACGCCCUCGCGGCGGGAGCGGCUGGCGGCCGCAGCGAAACGGCCCAAGCGACUGUUUAUCAAAAACACAGGACUCUGCCAAGCCGCAAGGCGACGUAUAGGGUCUGACGCCUGCCCGGUGCCGGAAGGUUACGCGGAUGCGUCAGCCGAAAGGCGAAGCGCUGAAGCCAAGCCCCGGUAAACGGCGGCCGUAACUAUAACGGUCCUAAGGUAGCGAAAUUCCUUGUCGGGUAAGUUCCGACCUGCACGAAUGGCGUAACGAUUUGGGCGCUGUCUCAACCGUGGACCCGGUGAAAUUGUACUGUUCGUGAAGAUGCGAACUACCCGCGGAAGGACGGAAAGACCCCGUGAACCUUUACUGCAGCUUGGCAUUGGCAUCUGGUACGGCGCGUAGAGGAUAGGCGGGAGCCUUUGAAGCGGGGGCGCAAGCCCCCGUGGAGGCGACCUUGGAAUACUGCCCCCGGCGCGUCGGCGGCCUAACCCCGACCCGUGAACCCGGGCGGGGGACCGUGCCAGGCGGGUAGUUUGACUGGGGCGGUCGCCUCCCAAAACGUAACGGAGGCGCGCGAAAGGUCCGCUCAGGACGGUCGGCAACCGUCCCGAGAGCGCAAGAGUGCAAGCGGGCUUGACUGCGAGAGAGACACCUCGAGCAGGGACGAAAGUCGGUUCUAGUGAUCCGGCGGCACAGAGUGGAAUGGCCGUCGCUCAACGGAUAAAAGGUACUCCGGGGAUAACAGGCUGAUCUCCCCCAAGAGUCCACAUCGACGGCAAGGUUUGGCACCUCGAUGUCGGCUCAUCGCAUCC